AAACCGCCUAGGGGUUAAGCCCGAUGAACCCGAAUAUCUGAAAUGGGAAAUUCAAUAUUGUUAAAAUCAUUAUUAAUAAUAAUGUUUAAAAUUGUAUGCACUUUUCCCAUAGUAAGACAUUGCAAUCCAUUAGUAUAUUUAACAUCUUAAUUGAUGUUAAUCGUUUAUUAAAAGGCCCAAGCAAUUAGCUUAUCCUAGCUGUGAUAAUUUUAUCGAUUGUCAUAUGGAUAAUAUUGCAAAUUGGUGUCCCUAAUAAGCAGCUGAUGGAAUUAAACAAUUGAAUCAUCCAAACAUUUGUGACAAAUGUAACACAAUUAUUUUUAAAGUUAAUAAUUUUUGAUAAUGUAUGUGUUAGGAUGUAUUUGAUUAGCAAUGCGAUAGAUUUGGGAUACCUUCGGGACCCGUCUUGAAACACGGACCAAGAAGUUUAACAUAGGCGCAAGUCAUUGGGUUAUCUGUUGAAACCUAAAGGCGAAAUUAAAAUAACUAGUUGUUUAUUUUUCGAAAUAAACAAUAGAAUGGGAUUACGAAAAUUUAAAAGAUUUUCCUCCAUCCCGGGGCGUUCUAUACGAACAUGGUUUCAAGCAAUUGGGCCCUCUGUUCAAGAGCGUACCUUGAGCGUCUAUGUUGA
rnacentral:rRNA from 1 species